AACGGUCUAUAGAAAGGAAAAAAAGAGAAACAAACCAAAGUUGAGAAACUCUCUUGCAUGGUACGAAAAUUGCCGGUAUAAAUUAUUUUUGAAUUCCCCAGUCGAAUGUAAAACUGGAGAAAAAGUAUUAAAUAUAAUCACCGCUAUUAAAAAUUUCAACCAAGACGAUGGACCUUCUAAUAUCCUUAACAAAAUACCAAGUCCUACAUACGCUAAAAUAUAAAAUGCACUCAAAAUAGAAUUAUUUCCUACAAUAUGGGCUGAAAGUUAUAGUGAAACUUUGAAAAAAAAUUGUUUGGCAGCUAUAGAUUUUGUACUCGCAUUUUUUUUUAUUGUAUAUAAUUCAGCUAAAGUGAUAAAAGAAAAGAGUUCAUAUUCUACUCCAAUUGUCGACUAUGUAAUCAUCUAUAAUGAUUUAACCGAUAUUUUCAAACCAGUCGUCAUUAAACAAUCAUCAUCGUGGAGAAGACAUUUUAAAAGCACGAACUAACAUAUAUUUUUAAUAGAAUGUAUAAGAACCCGUAUGAUAGUUCCAAGGUCGGACUGAGCCGUCAAUGUACUGAUGAAAACCCGGUGGGCUGAUCAGAAUAAUUGAUUCAUUUGCCGAUUGUUGAUAAUUUGUAAUAUAUUGAUAUUCUAUAAAACAACAGUGUAAUACUAUUAUAGUGCAUUAGUCACUUAGU